CCUACAGCUUGUGACGUGUGACAAUCGGGGCUUUGCAGAGUUGCUUAUACUCAAAAUUAUUGGUUUUAUUUGUACAUGUCGAGUGGUAGUUUUCCUGAUUUAUUGAUAUAUGUGCUUGUUAUUGACAAUGUUUAGAAAUUUUUUACACUCCCUAUGUAUAUAUAACAUAAACUCCUGAAUAUAAUCAGAAGCAACAAAGCAGGUUCAAUAUAUUAACCGGACUAGCUACUCAGAGGGGUUAAUCUUUU
rnacentral:lncRNA from 1 species